AAUGUCCUUCCUUUGGCAGCACAUUUUAAACUAAAACCCAACUGAUACAGAGAACAUUAACAUGGCCCCUACAAGCAGAUGGCACACAAAUUUGGGAAGUAAAAACUCAUCAA
ensembl:snRNA predicted gene, 25444